UACAGAGGUCCCAAGCGUUGUUCGGAUUCACUGGGCGUAAAGGGUGCGUAGGUGGCUUUGCAAGUCUGAUGUGAAAUCUCCGGGCCCAACCCGGAAAUGGCAUUAGAAACUGCAGGGCUAGAGGCUUGGAGGGGGAACUGGAAUGCUCGGUGUAGCAGUGAAAUGCGUAGAGAUCGAGCGGAACACCAGUGGCGAAGGCGAGUUCCUGGACAAGUCCUGACACUGAGGCACGAAAGCCGGGGGAGCAAACAGG
rnacentral:rRNA from 1 species